rnacentral:lncRNA from 1 species
UGAUUAAACCGUACAGCGGUGCGAGGGUACACCUUCUAUCGUGGGAGGAGAGAACAAAACCCUAGCGCGAGGGUAGAACUCUGUUAGAUGGAUCAAUUUUUCUCUUUUUUUUUUUUUGAAAUGAGGUGGAUCAAUUUUUGUCUGUGAUUUUUUAUUUAAUAUGACAUGUUUAUUGUCGAUAACAAUGAAAAAUGUAGACUGUUU